UACAGAGGGUGCAAGCGUUGUUCGGAAUUAUUGGGCGUAAAGGGCGCGUAGGCGGUGCGGUAAGUCUGUAGUGAAAAUCUAUGGGCUCAACUCAUAGUCUGCAUCGGAAAACUGCCGGGGCUUGAGUAUGGGAGAGGUGAGUGGAAAUUCCUGGUGUAGCGGUGAAAUGCGUAGAUAUCAGGAGGAACACCUGUGGCGAAAAGCGGCUCACUGGACCAUAAACUGACGCUGAUGCACGAAAAGCUAGGGGGAGCAAAACAGG
rnacentral:rRNA from 1 species